UUGGCGGAGCCAGAGAAAGAGUUGUCCAGGGCGCAGCGGGAGCAGAGCAUCCAGGCAGCACCAACCGGGGAGCGGACGCAGAGACACAGCAGCCUGGUCACUGCCAGGGCCCUGUGUGGAGUAGCUGCGGGAGCUGCGGUCCGGCGGGUCAGCCCCGGACGGCCGCGGAUGGCGUGACUGCAGCAGGAUGCGCUCCAAGGGCGCGGCCCUCGAGACGCUGGCGCUGCUGUGCGGGUCGCUGAGCCUAGUGCUGGGCGCGCUGCUGGGUAGAGGUUCGGCUCUUCGCACAAAACAAGGAUAACCACAGAGGCGAGCUGUGGAGGCAGCCAUGCCAACAAGGCAGCUGAAGACCUGAGCGAGGGUUUGCACACCCACUGCGGAGUGGCAGGAAGGGGGGGCCGCACAUCCGCCGCGCAAGGCGAGCUAUCACAGACGCGGCUCCCAACACCCCUGGAUGAGCGGGGCAGAAGUGUGUUCUGUUGAGCUUGGACUCCAGGAGGCAUUCUCUGAUCUGACUUUAGCUUCUGGCUUUACAGAAAUUGACUUACACUUGAGUUCUAAAAAAAAAAAAAUUGUAAGAGGAACAGUAAUCACAGUGUAUGACUGAUGAGUGUGUUCAGAUCUAAUUUACACACCAGGUAGGAAACAGCUGUCGUGUGAUAAAUCACCAGCUGGACACAGUGGUGAGAGCUACUUUCACGGCCUCUCCUCCCAGGGAUGGGUAAGGAUGCACUGGAGAAUACUGGCCACUGGGUCAUGAAGCAUGGCUGCAGUGUCCUCCACGUCUGGUUCACUGGCACUCUCAGCUUCCAUAGACUGAGUCUCCAUCAUUGAUGCAAGCUGGAAACUGAGUUCUGCAUGGACACCUUAUUGCCAGUGCCGCCCUGUGUCAUUCAGCAAAUGUCAGCUUGAACAACAGGCAGGCUCUAAGCCUUUGUGGCUGGACCCAAAAGAAAAAGUGGACUGGAUUCAUUUCUCAUGAUUGUGCAGAGAAGGACGAGGCUUCUGAGGUAGCAGAACCACCAGGGGUUGGGAUGCACAGGUUUUUGACCCCAUGUCUCGGCAGGAGGCUCAUAUCCUGGGUUUCUCAAGUCCCAGAUGGAGAAGAGUCUUGCCCUGGGAAAACCGUGUCCACCUCUCAUUCAAAGGUGGCUUAGUGCUGUGACAGCAGCCACAGGAGGGGAUGACAGGUCAGCACAGUGCUCACUGGGUGGCAGAGAGUGGAAUCAGCUGUAUUCUCAAGGUGUUGGAUCCUGGAGGGCCGGAGUUAGCAAAGUCUCAUAAGGUUCAGCAUCCUCGCAAAACUCCAGAACCUCAGGUAGGAAUCUCAAUUUGGGUAUCUCUUUAAAAAGUGUGCCAAACUGAGACCAAUUACAACCUGGCAAGAAAAAAAAAAAAAGAAAAGCACUUCCAUCUAAGCAGGAGCUGCGAGUGUUGUGAAGUAGCUGCCAGGCAUGUUUAUAACUGCUGCCAUUAGCCCUGCAUGCUGCCUGGGUUCUCUGGGGUCUCUUCUUUAAUACUGUGUCCUCUACCCCCACAGACAAGGUAGUACCACCAGAAGAGAGGAAAGGGCCUGUUGGAGUCCGUUAGAUGUCCCCACAUCAUGCCCUCUUAUGCAUGGAGUUUUGAAGGUGGCUGAUGGACUAACAUGUGUGAAUGUGGGAUUAAUACAUGAUGCUGGGUGUCAUGGUUUAUGUUGGUGGCCCCCCAGGCCUCAUGCAUUUGCAUUCUGCAUUGGUGAUUGGUUCAUUGUUUACCACUUGGUUUGACAGUGUGAGUGCUCACUGGCCUUGGGGUGGAGCCAGGUUGUAAUUUAGUGGCAGGAAGAAGUUGUAUCUCUCUUCUUUCACUGGUUUCUGUUUUGCUGUUUACAGCCUCCCAUGAACUGAGGUGCCACCAUACUAGUCUGCCUUGGAUCCAACUGAGUAUGGACUGAAACCUCCAAAAACUGUAAGAAAUAGACCUUUCCUUCCCAACUUCAGUCAUCAGGUAUUUUGUCUCAGUGAUGAGUAAAAAGUAACAAAGACAGAAUUUGGUACCAAGGAGUGGGGUCAUUGCUAUGACUAUACCUGACCAUGUUUUUUGAGAGACUUUGGAAAUGGCUUUUGGACAGAGUUUGGAAACAUUUGGACAUGUUGCAUGGAUGCAUAGAGCUGGAGCAGCUUAGCUUGUUCAUUAGAGGAGAUUCUGGUCAGAGCUCAGGAGACCAGAAGGCUGAUAGAAAGCCUCAUGGUAAAGACCAGGUUUCUGCUGGGAAGAAGGACUGCAUUGGUUUUUGGACUCCCAACGAUGUGUGUUAUGCUUGGCAGAAAGUUUGUCUGCAUUUUGCUCAUACCCAGAUACUUUGCCUGAGACUUAGACAAAGGGCAAUGGACUGAUUAACCUGGAAAAGGAAAUUUCAAGGCAGUCAAAUGUUGAGGCUGUGGCAUGACUACUUCUGGGGCUUUUAGCCAGCUUUAUGUUGCAAACCAAGAGCAAAGAGCCCAGCAGGACAAUUUACAAUGCUGUGAGUUUGGCUAGAAGGAAAACUCCAGUAAAGCUGUAGAUUGUAAGGCUCAAACUGAGAUUUUGAUUGCUGACAAGAAACAGAGUGAUAAGAAAGAUGGUACCAGGGCAUCCUAGAAAGCAGCAGGUCUCCACACUUUGCAGCCUCAAAACUGCAAAAGUGAAAGAAUUUGCCCAGAGGUUGAAGCUGCAGAGCACCAUGCUCCAGAAUGGCAAUGGAGGCCACAUGAGUUUCCAGAAUGGUGGUAACAUAGAGAAGAUUUUCUUCACAAUCAGGUUCACAGAGCCCAGCAAUCCAGGCAACCAACUCCUUACAGCCAAGAGAGAGAAAAUCCUGGAUACUGCUCCAGCUGGCAGCAAACCUUGGUGGCAUCCACAUGGUGCUGAUUUUAGGUGUAAGGAAAAUGUACAAAGUCUGAGGGUAAGAUAGCUUCCACCUUGAUUGCAGAGGGCCUGGGUGGCCAAGCAGUGUGCCUCUGAGAGGGCAAUUUGUAAAGAUGUAAAAGUGAAGCCAAGAGUGCAGUGAAGACCCUGUAAGUUUGGAAAAGCCAGGAAUAUGGGGCAUCUGAGGAAAGCUGCAAAAAGUAAGCAGAGAGGGUCUAAGAGAGAAGCUGCAGGAGCUGAUAUCCCUGGAAAUAUUGUGGGGGUGUAGUCAUCCAAGCCUUUUGGAACUUGCAAUCAGAUUGCUUCAAAUACUAAGCAUGGAACUCUAAGACUUAGUGUUUUUCCUGCUGGAUGUUGGGCUUGCUUUGUUUCCAAUGCUUUAUAUUCCUAUUUGUAACUUUUGGAAUAGUAAUUUUUAUCCUGUACCUUUGCAUUUCAGAAAUGUUUAAACUUGUUUCAUUUGUACAGCGGGUUACAGGUAACAGUUUGCCAUAGAUCUUGGAGGAAACUUGGGAUUUGGACUUUUUAGGAAUGCCGGAACUAUUAGGACACUGGCAACUCUUGGAGGUGGACUAAAUGUCUUUUGUAUAAAGGAUGUACAUGAGUCCUGGGGGCCAGGGGUGGAAUGUCAUGGUUUAUGUCAGUGGCCCCCAGGCCUCAUGUGUUUGCAUUCUGCAUUUGUGAUUGGUUCAUUGUCUAGCACUUGGGUUGGGAGUUUGAGUGCUCACUGGCCUAGGGGUGGAGUCAGGCUGUGAUGUAAUGGCAGGAAGAAGGUGUGUGUCUCUCUUGCUGGUCUCCUUCUUGCUGUUUUUGCAGCUGCAAUGAACUGCAGCCCUGCCAUGCCAGCCUGCCUUGGAGCCAACUGAGUGUGGACUGAAACCUCCAAAAACUGUUCUUUUCCCAACUUUGGUCGUCAGGUAUUCUGUCUCAGCAAUGAGGAAAAAGUAACUAAGAUACUGGAAUGGGAGAGCCCCCUCCUGGUGUAAGUGGCACUUAGCAACAGGUUUGUAGCCUGGAUGUGACAUAAAAGAACAGAAAGAAGGCAGGAUGCUGCUGCUGCCGCUGCUGUGCUGUCUCCUGCUUGCUUGCCCUGGACUGUCUCCCUUCCCCAAUGCACCUCUGCCCCCCCACCGUGGACUAUCUCUCCUGUUAUGCACCCCCUGCCCUACUGUGGAUGAUUUCUCCUCUGCAGUGUCCCUCUGCCACACCACCUUACCUUGAAAGCAGCAGACUGUGGACUGAAAACUCCACAAACUGUGAACCAAAUCAACUUUUCCUCCUUUAAGGAUGGGUGUCAGGUAUUUUGUUUUGACGUUGAGAAAAGUAACUAAGACAGGGUAAUUAUAGGGUUAGGUGGAUAUAAAGUCAUUUUAAGGUAUGAUGGAACCCAGUCCAGUAAGACUAUGGUCAUUAUCUUUCCUGCUUGUCCGUUUAGGAUUAAAGACUCAUGUAUGGGUGACUCUAGAGGAUGUCACAUAUCACAGAAAACCCACUGCACUGCGGGCCCUUAGAGAAGAAGCUGAAAAUGAAUGUCCAGCCAUCUUGGUGCCCAAGGUGACCGAAAUGACAGUUCACCAUGCUGAUAAAUGUCUGAGGCUCACACCCACAACUGUGAGCAUUUAUUAUAAUUGUGGAGACCAAGGGGAACUCACAUAAUAUCAUGAUCUCUCAAUAAUGUAGUAUUAAAAUAUUUAUACAAAUUUUUCUUUUCUUGACAUAUAUAUUUUGUACACAUAUAUGUACACGUAUAUGCAAUUUGUGUGUAUACGUAUGUACACGCAUGUGUAUGAGCUACGUACAGUGUGUGUAUACACAGACAUGGAACUACUGGAUCAUGCGGUGUUUCUGUUAACUUUCUGAGGAAUUUCCGUGUUUCUCUCCACAGAGACCACAUUGCCCUAUGUUUGCAAAACUUUUGUGAGUUAGGCUUGGUGGAAACUGAGAAUGGGCUUUUGAGGACGGUUUGCUUUGCUUGUUUUUAACUUUAAUAGGAAACCGAGUAUCACUGGCAUUUGGGAAACGCUUCUUUCAGCUCAUUCUCUUAUCUGCAUUUCUUAAUAUCAGCUUCUUCAAAAGCAACGAAUUCUUAAACCUUUCAGAUCAAAAACACUUUUGUCUUCCAUGUCCCGUGGUCUGCUCUGCCGUUUCCCAUGUGGCUGACGGGAAACCGUGUCUGGGUUCUGAGACUGGUUGGUGUUUCUGUGGCCUGGGUUUCCUCACAGACAUGGAAGACCUCAAGCUUUGGGCUGAGCCACUGUCACUGUGAUUCUCUUUCCUCGCUUGCUGCAGCACUAGAAGCAACUGCACCUCCCCGAGGAAGGUGGGAUCCUGGGUCUCCCUGAAACAUUCCUUCUGGACCCCCAACACAGGAAGUCUGGGUCUCAGAGUCCUUUGCAGCCAUAAUCCUGGUUUGGGGGCUGAUUUCCUACAAGUGGAAACAGUCCUCCUGGGCAAAGUGGGUGUCCUGUGGACCUCAAAUGAGGCUUGAGAUGUGAAAAUCCAGUUCAGCACUAAUUGUUUUAGAAAUGGCAUUUCGAGUGGAUCAGUUUAGGGCUGGCUUGUUUAUCAAAGACCACUGGCCCAUGAAAUUCACCAUCCAACUGAAAUUACUUAAAUUACUUUCUUUCAAAAUAGUGAGACAUUAGAAGGUGGUUAUUUAAUUACAAAGUACCUAUGGGAGAGACAGAUAAACCUAAUGGACCAUUUUAUUUCGUGGGCAAUCCUGCUUGGGAAGUGACUUUUUUGUGGAGAUGAUAAAUCCAUCAAGUUGUACCUUCCUAGCUCAGGGUUAAUGCUCCACUAGAUGUAAUUCCUGGUCCUCUGUUCCCCUCCCUCCCUUUCUUUCUCCCUCCCUUUCUUCUUCCUCUCUCCCUUCAGUGGGCGAUGCUACUCUACAAAGUAUAAAGACCAAACCUUGCAAACCCAUGGUCACAGGAUUAUGAAAUUCAUCACUUUGGCUUCAAACCUUUGCAAGAGACAGCAAAUCCAAUCACACACAUGUAAUAACAAUUAGAGUGACACAUUAUGUAGCUGAAGUAUGCAGGGAGGAGCAGGCUGCAUGUCCAGCCACCUGCAAGGCUGAUCAGCAAGUAGUUUAUCUGUGCCUUUGACCCUUGGUUUCCACCAUGUGUGUCCCAUGGUCAGCCAGGCUCUCCUACCACAGUGCCAGCCCCAGCCCUCCUGGCUCACAGACGUUUUCUGAGGAGCUCUCAUCCAACCCUGAGUGCAGUCUGGCUGUACUUGUGUCGGGGUGCAGGGCCCGGCCAGAGCCCUGUGGCUCUGUCCCCCUUAGGCACUGAGUUGCUGGGUGCUGUUGCUGAAGAGACACAGCACACUGUUGUCAGGUGGCUGGGCAGGUCUCAUGUCUAGCUGGCUCCCACUCUGGGUGGACAUUGAGGCACAGAGUUAGGCUUGUGCAGAAAGCAGGUAAUAACAGGAGACAGAGGCAACAGUUUCAGCUCAGGGCUGCUGUAACACGCGAUAGCUGUAGUCAUUCCACAGUUUUAGAAUUAUGCCACUUGGGAAAUAAAAAGGGAAAAUCCUUGCUUACCAUGUUGGCGGUGCCUUCACUGAGGUCCUCCAUCCCAGUGUCUCUGGAAAUCUGUGCCAUGUGUGCAUCCUGUAGCGACCACGGCUGUUGGACGCGGGAGGGUGACUCACAGUUCAGUCUCUUCCUCGGUUUCCACAGAGUGUUCCUCAGGGAAAAUUUGCAAAUGUGGGGUGCAGUGGCACUGUGGGGAGCCACAGGGAGGGAGGCUCCUCAAAGAUUUAAAAAUACAACCACCACAUGGUGCAGCAAACCCACUUCUGCAUCUCUCCAGAGGGAUGGAAAUCAGUCUGUUAAAGAGAUGAUGCCGUGUUCACCGCAGCCAUGAUCACAAUCGAAACAACGUUAACGUCUGUCAGAGGAUUCAGGGAUAAAGCUACGGGGCUACACCCACUGUGGAAUAUUAUUCAGCCCUGACAUAGCAAGAAAGCAGGUGUUUGCAACAGCACGAUGAACCUGGAGGACGAUAUGCUAAAUGAAAUAGCCAGGCAUAGAUAAAAGCAGAGUGCAGGACUGGUCACACACAUGAGAUGGAAGACAGUGAAAUCUUAGAAGCAGAGAGUGAGGCCUGGUCUCUGGCUGUGGGGUGAGGGGAGGAGGGGCUGGUCACAGGGGAUGCUCACAGGGUUGUUUAUGAUAACUGCAUGCAUUGAUUUGAACAGUGCACAAACUGUGAAACCAGGCUCAUCUUUGAACACCUCAAACCCAAGUCUUUGACUCAAAGCCUCGUUUUGUCACUGAAACAUCUUCCCCCACGUGAGGGUGAGUUGUGCUUGUGCUCUGUGUUAGACUCUAGAGUUGCUUCCAGGAAUAUAGCACUGUCUCUCUGCCUUCAACACUCUCUGUUUAGUGGGAGAGAGUCGUGUAAACCAGCAUUUCAUGAAGAUGGUUGGGAGGGAAGACUGGGGAAGACUGAAAUGCCUAGACACCACAUAUCCAAGCAAGACGGGAGAGACCUCUGUGUGGGCAUUUUAGGGCAGAUUAGAUGACUUGAGUCCAUGGGGCAUAUUCAUAGGAGGGGUGAAGAUACUGGGCAUUUUCGGGGUGAUGGAGAGUCACCAGGAGAUUUACACAGAGCUGUGGUCCAAGUAGUUUGCUGUUAGGAAUGGGGGCUGUCAGAUAGUGGUUUGGUGAUAACCCUCAGUGGGUCGCUGCAGUUAGGUGGUAUGGAAACCUCCUGCUGGAUUCACAGGGAGCCCACAGAAUCCGAGACUGCUCUGCAGGGAAAGGGGAAGAGCGUUAUGACAGAGUCCUAUGAGUCCUCAUAGGACUUAUCCCAGUGGAUGGAGCAGUCUGCAGGUAGGGCUGGCUCAUUAGGGUGAGAAGACCUUAGCAGUGGGAACUUCUGCAUCUCAGGCUGGGACAGAAGAGGAGGGGCAGUCAGAGAAGGAGAGGAACCAAGUGAGUGCUUUUCGGAUCAUUUUAGGGUGCUGGUGGUUUAGAUUUUUUAAGGCAGCCUCAUUAAACAUAUCUGAUAUGAAAAGCAGUGCACGUAUUUAAUGUGUGCGGUGGUGAGUUUGGAGCCACGCAAGCACCUCUGUCAUCACUACAAUGAGGACAGCAGACAUUACCACCACACCUUCCCAACCCCUGAGUGUCUAAGUGAGUGUAGGAAGGACUCUGGGCACCUGACCACUUUCUUGAAAGGUUGGAGGUGCAUGAUGCCAUUUUGUUAACUGGAGACACCAUGCUGCCAAGUGCAUCUCUAGAAAUUUUUGUCCUAACAUAGCUGAAACUUUCAGUUUGAAAGUUUUACUUCUAAAAUAAUUUUAAAUUGACAAAAGAAAGGAGAUCAGCCCUUUCCUGUAUUCCCACCUUCCCCAUCUAAUUUCUUCUCUUACUAGCAUUGCAAAUUAAUGUGGAACAUUUAUUAUGAUUAAGGAACCAGCAGGGACACGAUGAGUAUCAGCUAAAGUGCAUAAUUCAUUCAGAGCUCUUAGGUUUACCUGAUUCCUGGCAACCCAGGCCACAAACCACAUUACAUGUAUUUGUUAUGUCUAAUUAAUACAGUUUUUAAUUCCCAACUGAGACUAGGGUUAUAUUAAGGUAUCAUCAAAUUUUAUAUUAUCUGUUAAAUAAUAGUAACAUUACUUUUUAAAAAUCCCAAGUCUCAAUGGGCUGGCACUACAUAGUUAUCUUCCCUCCUUUCCAGCCAGCAGUGCCAGGACUUGAUUGUUUUCUGGAGCCUGUGAGUCUUUGUCAUUCAAAGCUAAGAAGGCAAAUCCACUCCCAGAGCACAUUUUGGGAAAGGAGCCCUCUCUUCCCGUAUAAGCCAUGGAUAAGAACCAGGCACAGGCGGAGCCUGGGUGACAGCAAGGCUGGGGACCCUACCCUAGUCCUGGAGGGAGGGGCUCAGGAUGGGGGACUCUGAGUGGCAGGUGGGGGAGGCAGAGGAUCACAGGACCGGCAAUGAUUUUACCCAGGGGAAAGGGUGAAAGAAAUCUGGGCAGAAGUCGCCCGUGGAAAUCUUAUACACCAGCCUGUAAGCCAGGGUGGUACAUUGUGGCCCUGUGAGGGGUUGGGACAUGGGCUUGGGCAGGGUGAGAGAGUUAGACAGCGCUGUUGUUGCCUGUGUCAGUUUUGUUUCCUUAGGGUUUGCAACUUACCCCCAGACAAUCAGGAGCCAUGAGAGGGCUUUAGUGUAGGAGCAGUGCUGUGAGUUUUCUGUUUAAGCCAUACAUGGAUCAACACAUAAAGACCUUCAGUGAUAAGAGUGAGUACUGGAGACCCAACAGACAACCUUAUGACUGUCUUUAUCAGUAUCACCUUCUGUAUCUGAUUGUGAGGGAGGGUCUCAAGUGUUCUCACCACUAGAAAAGAUGGAGGGAUGGAUGGCUAUGCUGAUUGGCGUGGUUGUGGUAACCAUGCCACAAUGCGUACUUAAAAGCUCCAUGUGAGCAGGGCGUGGUAGAGUGCCACAGUAAUUCCAGCCACUUGGAAGGCUGAUGCAGGAGGAUUGUGAGAGAGCCGCACAUACAGGAUAGGAAAUAGAGGUGAGCUAAGGUAAUACUAAGCCAAAAUUAGGUGCUCCAGGCAUGCAGGGAGGAGGGGAGGCCUAGGGGAGGUCAGGGGUGAAGGUUCCCUUUCUGCACUGAAGACCUGCAGGUCCUUUUCUCCCUCUUCUAAAACCCUCCUCCCCAUGCUCCUAGGGGUCAUAGGAUCAGGGUGGAGUAGCUCAACCUUUCAUCACUGUGAUACAUGGAGGCUCAGCCUUUCACCACGGGCAAUGCACUGCUGUUAUUUUGCACGGCAAAGAAAGAAGGGAUGAGGCCAGUUGUAUCUGAAGACACCACUGAGAAGAGAACGCAAACAUUUGCAGUAAUAUUAAAAUGUAAAAGAAAGUUCAUUAGGUAACUUCUCAUGAUAGAGGACAGGAAAUCCACUGGUUUCCGUAUACCCACCCGAUGCUUCUCUUUAGCCAGUGUGUGAGCUCUUUGGGGGGGUAGGGCCAGGGUCCGUGUUUCAUCUGGAUGCCCAGUAUUAGUUCAUGAGUUUAGCAGUUGGUGCAGGGAUUAAAUGAGCUAUAAGCUGAUAAUCCAGCUAGGGAGAUCUGGCAUAUCAUGAGAGCAUUUUACAUUUGAUAUGAAAAACCUCGAUAUUCUGGAAGGAAACUGGAAACAACAUCACUCCCAACUUCACAUUUUAUAAUGUUCUUGAGACAGUUUUAAGAGUUUUAGAAGAAUUUCAGUGUUCUCAUGUGUCCUGUAAUGAAUAUCCCCAUGAUAACAUUUUACAAAAUCAUAGAAUAAUAAUGGAAAGAAAUUAACCUUGGUGCAUUUGUGAAACUGAAUGACAUAACUUACUGAAUUCACUGGCCCCAAGGUUCGAUAUGCACAAUAUUUCGGGCCCAAGUCUCCUGUAAUUUAUCAGAGCUCCUCUAUUCCCACUGGCAGAGGUACUUAGUGCUAAGUGUUCCCUAGAUUUUGCAAUUUCUGGGGUAUAAACUGGAUGGAGUCCUGAGUUCAAGCUGUUAACUAUUCCACUUUCUUCGUCUAAUCUAACUCUGCAUCAAAAGGUUUAUUUCUCCGGGCUCUGUUUCGAAACUGUUUUGUAAUUGUCGGUUUUUGUUUUUAAAAACUGAUGAGUGUUCCCUUUGGUGCUGCCUUGGGAUAGAGCGAGUGACUGCUGUUGUUCAUCUGCAGCAUUUCACAGACGGAGUCGGUGAAUUUUAAAAUGCUCAUGGGAGCAAUGCAAUCUGAUACACAUAAUGUUAUAAUGUGGUACAAAAUUAACUCUUUGGUUCUAGUAAAUUAAAGUCAAAUUUCUGUGUAGGCCCUUGAAAUAUUCUCUGGCUUUGACCCCUUCUAGUCACUUAAAAAAAAGUAUUAGUGCUGACCAAUGUGUCCUUAUUCAUAUCAUUUAAUAUAUUCAGAUGAAAAUUAUGGAUUUUGUUGAAUCAGAGAAAGAGUAAAAAGCAAGCAAGAAAGUAAAGACCUAUCAGGUACUUUUUGUUUGUUUGUUUGGUAUGACUUCCUUUGCCACUUAAUGUUUAAGAUUAAACAAACAAACAAAACCCUCAAUGUAACCAUGCAACACACCCUUAGAGCGGAGGCCAAUGGUAACAACAUAUUUGUAAGUUAAAAUUUCCCUCUUAAAGACACCUGUAUCGAGUCAAUAUUGAUGAUUGACCCUCAGAUUUUAGUUCCAUAGCACCAUGGUCAAUGACACCUGUGGUGAAUAUCCAUUACUUGACUUUUCCUACCAAAUCUGCAUGGUAGGAAUAACAGAGAGCGCCUUGUACUUAGCAUAGACAUCUAAUAGAGGAAUCUCCCACACUGACAACUCCAAUGAGUGAAACGCACCCGAGUUGUCUCUGCAUUUUGUCUUUAGUGCUGUGCUGAGCACAUGAGCAGUCACUCCCUGCAGCAGGAGUGACUCAGUCUUUCUACAGGAUGGACAAGAGUGCGGGAUGUGCAAGUUACACACCAAAGCAACUCAUCUGAAGUAGUAUUGUGUCCCUCCUACUUACAAAAUUGAAGUUAAAUUAUGUUUUGGGAAAUAUUCUCACUUGCCUGAUUUAUCUCACACUUCAGAAUUUAUGUAUUUUCAUAACAGGGACAGAGGGAAGGAGGGGGAGAGAAGGUAGGGUGAAGUGUGGGGUGACACAUCCGCCUUCAGGAUGUGGGGACCAGAGACGGAACCCUUGAAAGGCUGACGGGUUGGAUAUUUGUCUGCACUCCCAUUACUGGGGUUGGUAAAAUGCAGGGUAACCAUAUGGGUGUUUGACAACAUGUGCAUUUCUCACAUAUGUAGUUCAGUGUCUGGAGGAGGCAGCCUUCAUUCUUUAUCACUAGGGAUUUUUAGAAGUAAUAAGAAAUAUUUCAGGGAGUCAAGUGGCCUCACACAAAUUGUGGUGGUGGGUCUCAUUCUACCCCACAUUCGUCCACAGAUUGUGACUCCAACCUCUACAUGGAUUUUAAAUGUUCACCCUCGGCUGUGUGCUUGUGUUAUGCAAUCCAUGUGCUAAAACAAUGGUUUGCUCUUAGAAAUCUAGUGUCUUAGACAUCCAGAUGGGUCUCUUGCUGCAGAUUGCUAGCUGCUUCUAAUUCCUUUCCCCUGGAAAUCUGCUCUUGGAAAUAGAUUUUUCAUAUCUCAGAAUAAUUUCAUAUGUAAACCAACCCCAAAGUGUCAUCUGCUCUGUUAGGGAGAGGACCCUUCCAAAUGCCUCUUCCCCUGGUCUCAAGCAGUGAGGGAAAACUUGGUGCCAUGAUGCGGGUUGGUGAUUGUUACUGGUUCCCAAGGCCUCUGUGGGUCCAAACAGCAGGGAUCUCAGCACAUCGGAUUUGUGUGCAGGCCCAGAGGGGCACCCUUGUCCCCUGACUCCUCCCUUCAGAGAUUAUGAAAUGUUUCCUUGGUUCUCUUUAAUCUUGCGGAGGGUUUCUUUUUAAGUGUAUCUAGGUGUGUCAGGGACCAGACUACAUGAGGGUUAAAUUGUUGACCAUGAAGGGAUAUGUGGCUGUGUUGAAAAAUCACAGUGCUCAGAAGUCAAGAUGACACCAGAGCUGAGGCAGCGGAGGAUACAGGCUGCUGACACACCACCCCCACAUCCCAGAACAUAAAAUCGUCAAUCUUGGAGAUAAUCAGUUUUCCUAAUUACCAAAAUUUACUGCUUUGUUUCUCAAGGACCUGCUCAUUUUUCUGGGUUCUAUUCUCUAAUUUCCUUCCUCUUCUUGCACCCUGAAGUCUGUGAAAACCCAAUAAAUAUGGUGAUUCAGAA